AUUUCAAAUUGGAUGAGAAAGAAACAAGACAUCCAUGGAUGAAAACCUACACCAGAGCGGUCUUGACCUCAGACUGGGGCGAUGGUUCAUCUUUCAGCAGGACAAUGACCCUAAGCACACAGCCAAGAUAUCCAAGGAGUGACUUCAGGGCAACUCUGAAUGUCCUUGAGUG